UCGAGGAUCUUCGGCAAUGGGGGAAACCCUGACCGAGCGACGCCGCGUGCGGGAUGAAGGCCUUCGGGUUGUAAACCGCUGUCAGAGGGGAGGAAAUGCCGGGAAGUAAUUCAUAAUCGACCCGGUUUGACCUAUCCUCAGAGGAAGGACGGGCUAAGUUCGUACCAGCAGCCGCGGCAAUACGAACCGUCCAAACGUUAUUCGGAAUCACUGGGCUUAAAGGGUGCGUAGGCGGCCCGGUAAGUUGGGUGUGAAAGCCCUCGGCUCAACCGAGGAAUUGCGCCCAAAACUGCCGGGCUCGAGGGAGACAGAGGUGAGCGGAACUUAGGGUGGAGCGGUGAAAUGCGUUGAUAUCCUAAGGAACACCAGUAGCGUAAGCGGCUCACUGGGUCUCUUCUGACGCUGAGGCACGAAAGCUAGGGGAGCGAAGAG
rnacentral:rRNA from 1 species